rnacentral:rRNA from 1 species
CCACGGGAGGCUGCAGUGGGGAAUAUUGGACAAUGGGCGAAAGCCUGAUCCAGCCAUGCCGCGUGUGUGAAGAAGGCCUUCGGGUUGUAAAGCACUUUCAGUGGGGAAGAAAGCCUUGGGGCUAAUACCCUCGAGGAAGGACAUCACCCACAGAAGAAGCACCGGCUAACUCCGUGCCAGCAGCCGCGGUAAUACGGAGGGUGCGAGCGUUAAUCGGAAUUACUGGGCGUAAAGCGCGCGUAGGCGGUCUGAUAAGCCGGUUGUGAAAGCCCCGGGCUCAACCUGGGAACGGCAUCCGGAACUGUCAGGCUAGAGUGCAGGAGAGGAAGGUAGAAUUCCCGGUGUAGCGGUGAAAUGCGUAGAGAUCGGGAGGAAUACCAGUGGCGAAGGCGGCCUUCUGGACUGACACUGACGCUGAGGUGCGAAAGCGUGGGUAGCAAACAGGAUUAGAUACCCUAGUAGUC